rnacentral:lncRNA from 1 species
AGAUCUGCACGGCUUUCAAGAGACCAAAUCUCAGAAGACAAGGUUUGGAAUGUAGAAGGACUGUGCUAGCAGUGUUUCUGUAGAAUGGCCCCUUUGUUUUCAUAGACCAGUAUAAUUUAGCUGUCAGUUUCCCCUGUAAGUUUGUACUGUUGGUUUUACUUAUGUCAGUGAGAGCUCAUAUCACUGUAACUGCAAUUUAAUGAAUAUAAUACUUUACUGAGAUGAAAAGGAGAAUCUGUAUAGUACAUAACUCAUGAAUCAGAUUUUACAGUAGACCUAUCUGCAUGCAUGCAUACAUACAUACAUACAUACAUACAUAUGUGCAUGCGUUUGUUUUGUUUUGGAUCAUUCUUUAGGAUCAGAAAAAGGCAUGCAUACUUCAUAGAAAUGAUCACGCCAAGACCAGAGUCAAAGAAAAGUUUAAAAAUUCUGAAAUCAAGAAAAUAUGCAUUACUGACAAUCAGUUUCAAGUUUUUACUGUAAGUUCCAAUGCAUUCUUUGACCACAAUUUAAAUCUGGAAUCAAGUGAAACAGAAAUCCCAAAGCUGCAGGAUGAUCUGAGGAAUCUUAACAAGAGCAUUAACAGAGAACUGACCAGAGAUUAUGUCAAUAAAGCAAAGGGAGUUUUGUCCUUGAUCCAAAGCGGCCAGCUGGAUACAGACAAGAAAACGGUACGAGUCAGAAUUAGAAUCUUCAGAAUGCUGCCAUUGUGUAUUAUUCUGUAAUUCACUGCUGUUGUA